GACGAACGCUGGCGGCGUGCCUAAUACAUGCAAGUUGAGCGCUGAAGGUUGGUACUUGUACCGACUGGAUGAGCAGCGAACGGGUGAGUAACGCGUGGGGAAUCUGCCUUUGAGCGGGGGACAACAUUUGGAAACGAAUGCUAAUACCGCAUAAAAACUUUAAACACAAGUUUUAAGUUUGAAAGAUGCAAUUGCAUCACUCAAAGAUGAUCCCGCGUUGUAUUAGCUAGUUGGUGAGGUAAAGGCUCACCAAGGCGAUGAUACAUAGCCGACCUGAGAGGGGGACCGGCCCACUUGGGACUGGAAACGGGCCCAAACUCCUACGGGAGGCAACAGUAGGGAAUCUUCGGCAAUGGACAAAAGUCUGACCGGGCAACGCCGGGGAAGGAAAGAAGGUUUUCGGAUCUUAAAACUUUGUUGGUAGGAAAAAACGUGGGGGAGGGGGGAAAGCCCAAAAAGUGACGGUAACUACCCAGAAAGGGACGGCUAACUACGU
rnacentral:rRNA from 1 species